rnacentral:lncRNA from 13 species
AACAUGUACAUUAUGUAUAAACAACAAAACAUAUUGUGUAGAGAAAAAUGCAUAACAGCAGGAGUUAUAGACCAGUAUCAUUAAUGUAAAUAAAAAACACCAGCAUAGACAAAGCCAUAUGACAUACGUCACUCUCAUACAUGGAAUUAUUUCAGACACAUUACCCAGUGCCUUUGGGUAGAGAGGCCAGUGGGAAUGAGGAUGAUGGCUGAAGGGAAGAAAAUUUUUUAAAAGAGGCCUAAUGGGAAUCGAUGAAGAAAGUACACCAUAAACUUGGAGUGUGAUUAAAGCCUUCCAUCUUCCUCUUUUGCCUCCUCUAGGUUACCAGUUCUGCUUUUCCUGGACCUGUUCCAGGCUCUCACGUUCCACAUCACAUGUGGGACAUCUGGUGUCAGGCUCCCAGAGAGCAGCAACCAGGUGAAACACAAGGGCAUAGUCCUCCCAGCUGGUGGCAUGGGGAUCAUUGAACAAUACAACUCUUUACACUUUUUUAAUGGAAAGAUUUGAAUAGGGGUUCACAGGAACAACCUGAGGCCCUGCAACUACAUUUCCCAGAGUUCCCUGGGGGUGAUCCUAAGGUGACUCUGGGAGCAGGGCCACUUGGACAGCCAAUGAGAGUACUUCUCCUGCAGACUGUGGAAGUGAGAGGACUUCCUCAUAGACCUUGGGUAUGGGAGGAUUGCAUUCAGUCUGGUUCCUGGUUGCUGGCUGAAAAAACCUGGUUGGAGUACAGUGGUACUAUCUCAACUCACUGCAACCUCCUCCUCCUGAGUUCAAAUGAUUCUCCUGCCUCAGCCUCCUGAGUAUCUGGGAUUACAGGCACUGGCCACUGUGCCUGGCUAAUUUUUGUAUUUUUUUUGGUAUUUUUAGUAGAGAUGAGGUUUCACUGUCCCGGCCAGGCUGGUCUCAAACUCCUGAGCUCAAGUGAUCCAGCUUCUUAGGCCUCCCAAAAUCCUGGGAUUACAGGUGUGAGUCACUGCACCUGGGAGGAAGUUUUAUCAUGGUGGAAGUAUCCUUAGUGGAAAGGAUCUCCAAGAGGAAUGAAUGACAAAAAAAUUUAACUCCUUCACUGCCAGACUAAGAGCAUCAUGCCCUGAACAUGGACUUGCAGAAUUCUACAGAAGAGAGGAGACUGGCCUGGGCAAACAGCCCCAGAAGCUGGGGGCCCGAUGGGCUUUCGACCCAGGAUGUGGCUCCAUGCCCUGACUGAUGCCCACAACCACCGUACACCUGCUCUUUUCUGAUUAAGAAACAAAAGACAGCAUACUGUUUGCCCUUGAAUGCUUGAAACACAAAACAGGUGACACCACCUUCCUCCUCAAAAGGAAUUUUUAAACUGUCAGCCCUCUAUCUGCCCAGAGACUUAUUUUGUCUGGCCUUUGCUGUCUUCAGUAGUAGCAGCUGUUUUUCUUUAGCUUUGCUUUCCUGGCUUGUUGCAAGUACCCCCAGCACCUUCCUGGCUCCAGUAGGCAUUAAGUGGGACCAGUGAGAGGGAUGCAGGCCUUCUGGACAGUAACAACUGUUGAAUGAUGGUCUUUGGGUGUGGCUAGUCCAGCAACUCCUUUUAAUCCAGAGACUCAAAGGGCUGGCUUAGGAGGGGGCUAGGUUGUAUUGUCAAUUUAGUGGGGUACCAUGCUCUUCCUUCAUGGUGGUAGAGACAAAAGAAAAGAGAAGGAAUAGGAAAAGAAAAACACACAACACACACAUACACACACACACACACACACACACAGGGGGAGGGAGGGAGAGAGGGGGAGAGAGAGAGAGAGAGAGAGAGAGAGAGAGAGAGAGAGAGAGAAAAGCCACUCAUUAGCUCUCCUGAUAAUUCUUCUAAUCGUUAAUGCCAGAAAUCUAUGCAGCAGGUGUAGAUGAUUUUAUCUGUCUGCAAUUGUACUUGUGCUGAAUUUAGCCUUAAGGCACAACAGCCCUAUCUCAUAGGCAGGCUACCUCUGGGUGAAUCUGCUUUAUCUGCUUAUUUAUUUAUUUAGAGAUGGAGUUUUGCUCUUGUUGCCCAGGCUGGAGUGCGAUGGUGCAAUCUCGGCUUACCAUAGCCUCUGCCUCCUGGGUUCAAGCAAUUCUCCUACCUCAGCCUCUGGAGUAGCUGGGAUUGCAGGCAUGUGCCACCAUGCCCAGUUAAUUUUGUAUUUUUAGUAGAGAUGGGGUUUCUUCAUGUUGGUCAAGCUGGUCUCUAACUACUGACCUCAGGUGAUCCGCCGGCCUUGGCAUCCCAAACUGCUGGGAUCACAGGCGUGAGCCACCUGCUUUUAAUUCUUUUAUGUUUGGCUCUUGUUUAUAACUUCUUUUAGAGAAAGAAUAAAGGUUUCUUUAACCAAAAAGAGAAAGAAAAC